rfam:Sarcophilus harrisii ctg7180002460825, whole genome shotgun sequence.
CAAAAGGCUCUUUUCAGAGCCACCCAUUUCAUCAAAGAAGAGCUG